GCUAAAUAUAAUCGAAAACAAAUAUUGCCAGUUUAUGUAAUCUGCAUUGAAGUAAAGAGAGUACCGUUUUUCCUGGCUGACUUCAUUAUCUGUAAUUUGGUCACGCCCACAGCUGUUGACAUGGUAAUGAAGACACGAGCUGUUCAACCAUAACAAGCAAAGCUUAAAGUUUGAUCAGAUUUAAAGACUUUUUACCGCAUGUUUGGAUUAUAAACUUUAUUCACACACGUGAGGAAUAUCUUCAUUUAUGUCUGGACAUUAAGGAAGAGAAGCAUUUAUCUUUAACGUUACCUUAGAAGAACAAUGAAAAACGCACUGCUGGAUUAGAAGUAAGCAACGUUAACAGUUAAUUUAUACCAUUUAUAUUUGCUAUUGUAGCAGAGCCAGGAAGGGCAUUGGUUUAGGUCACGUGAUGUGAUGAGAAUUAUAUAAAAGGCAAGCUUUGGGGCUACCUGGUGAUGCGUCACCUUUGACUCCGCCCUCUCGUGGGACCCGAUCCAUUGUUUCUGCCAAGGUAUGUGCGUUCGCAUGGUGUGUUGAUCUUUUUGGUAACUUUAUGGAUGCGCUUGCUCAUGUUACUCUGUUCGACAAUAGGACCAUUUGGCUAACUGGUUGUUGGCGUGGGCUGUCGGCUACCUCAGGUAUGUGAGUUUCAUUUGUUGUUUUAUAUGAGCUGGUGUACUGAAAUUCACGUGCUGCACCAUUUCAGUGUGGUUUGGCGUUCGUUUGAACUGAACGAGCCACUGCGAGGACGUUCUUGUUAGGGGUCAUUCCCGCAAGUUUUCGGUUGAUCUGGCCUUUCUGAUUACCGUCCAGGAACAGAGAGGGUAUUUGGCCCGAGUGUGUGACGGCGCUGCUGUUUUGCCUGUGGGGAAAUUUUAUGAGUGUUGCUCACCACCACUUGCCAGUUCGGUCGUCGACGGCAAGCUGUUUACCGUAUUGCCAAGGGCGAUUAAAUUGCCGCUUUGCCUACGGCAGGUUAGCUGCUGUGUACAACUCCUGUCAGUGUUUGUUUUUAUUAAUGAAGACUUUACGCGUCGUUCCUUCACGGACAAAGUUACUGUUACCCGCCUCAGGGGAAAGCCCUUUGGGCCACCGUGACUUCAGCUCGAGGUAUCGGGUUUCAUUUUAUUAAUAUUGUCGACGUGAAUUGUCCCUGAUUUUGUGUAUUACAUUGAGUCGCGUGAUGCUGUGUUUUAUGUGUGUUAUGUAUUUUCGUUUUUGACGUAUUUCCUUGUUUUUGGUUUGUUUUCUUUAUUUUUGAUUUAUUCCCUUACUACUGGUGAUCGCUACUGUUAUGACCAGUAUUAGGUCAUGCUAACUACUGCUUGAACGCACCUUUUGUAUAGCAUCUUUACUUCAAAGGUGUGCCUCACUCUGAGUUUACUUACAAUCUGAAUAAUCUCGUAUAGCCCUUGUCUAUUGUGAACCACCAUUGUACAUCCGUAUAUGAUGGUGGGCUGACCAACUAUGUAAACACACUUCUGCGUAGUUAUUUUUGCUACAAACUAACACUGCUACGAGUGUACGGAGGCAGAGU